GGGGGUAUAGCUCAGUUGGUAGAGCAGCGGACUCUUAAUCCGUAGGUCGUAGGUUCGAAUCCUACUGCCCCUACCA
rnacentral:tRNA from 1 species